UAUCAUUCAAAAUUCAAAAACUCUGUCCAACUCAAAAUUAUGGCUCCAGAUUCAAAAUUCAAACCAUCUAGAUAUGUAAUACUCUCUUCUUCAAUCAAUUACACUCUCUCUCUAUAUUCACUUUCUCUUUCACUUUCAAGAAUCGCAAAUGAAAUUAGGGUUUGCUGCAACCCAAUUCUCUCACUUAUUCACCAAAUUUCAACCUCCAAAUUUACCCUAAUUCCGUCGAUUACGCCACCAUGUCCACAGAGGAGCCACCGUUCUCCACCAUCACCAUUCCACCUCCUCACCAAAGACGACAUUUCUCAACUCAACCGCGAAGACUAACGCCGCUUCCUCAAACAAAAAGGUUUCGUUUUGUUUCGUAUCAUCCAACUUGAAAUGAAAAUUGCAAUUGAGUUUUUGUGUGUGCUAAUGUGUGAUUGAAAGGGUUUUUGAUGCUGAACAUUAUGAGUCUUUUAGAGAUAAAAGAAAAAGGGGUUGCAAUAAAGUUACAUAAUUUGGGAAAAUAAGGAUAAUUUAUGGUUUUUGUAUCCAAAUAGUCCUGAUUUAUUUGAUUAUUUUGAAGCUGGAGCAACCAUCCUUGAUAAAGAAAAGUAAGUCUGGCAUUAACUAAAAUGAAAUAUAUUAUCUUUCGUUUGUUAAAUUCCUUUAUAAAUGCUCAAGAUGUGAGAUAAAGAUGUAUUGGUGGAGCGUCAACUGCCAUGCCUGUUUCAUGAGUUUGUUGAUGAUAAAGAUGUGAGAUUGAUUAGUGUAGAGACUGCUGGUUCAAGGUUUCAUGAGUUUGCUGAUGAUAAACAUGAAUAGUAAAGAAUCUGGAUUUCAACAAAGUGCGAUUAUACGGGACAUAGAAGAAAUACUGAAGAUUGCUGGUGAAGAAAAGCUAUGCCAGAGAAGAUCUUGAAUUAGGUAAUCGCAAACAUGAAGCUGCCACAAAGCUGCAAAAAGUUUAUAAGAGUUUUAGAACAAGAAGAAAGCUUGCAGAUUGUGCAGUUCUUAUUGAACAAAGCUGGUGGAAGCUGUUAGAUUUUGCGGAACUUAAAAGAAGUUCGAUAUCAUUUUUUGAUCUUGAUAAACAAGAAACUUCGAUUUCGCGUUGGUCCAGAGCAAGAACAAGGGCUGCCAAGGUUGGAAAAGGCUUAUCAAAGAUGGCGUUGAUUGCGUUUCGAUACAAACAUGAUGCUCCGGCGUAAACAUACAAAAUGUGGAUUGUGGACAGUGACAUGCAAUAAGCAUCGGGAGCCUCAACAAAGAUUACAGUUCGUGAUACAAAGAUCCAUGACACAAUGACUGGAGUAGGAAUAAAGAUAUGGCAGAACUGCAGGCCAUUUUCUGAAGUUUAUAUGCCCAUGACUGAGGUGCAAUAUACAGUGAAUAUUGUUGAUCAGCCUGAGUUAGAAAUGAAAGAGAGGAUACAAGAAAAAUGGUGGACGAAUUAAACAACAGUCUUUCGAAGCAUAUGGAAUAGAUUAAGACAGAUUUAGUGGACCCCAAAAAACUUUAAGCCACACUCGCCGAUGAAUCUUUCUCUAACGGUUCCGAUCUCAAAAAGUCGCCAGAAAUGGUGGCACUACUCGAAGCACAGAUGAAUGAGAUGAACCCUAAUCUUGAUUCCAUCGCUGAUUACCGGAACAAAGUGUCACACCCCCAAAAUACCACAUGCGGAAUCCCCCACGAGGCGUGUGACGUACCAGGAUCUAGCCACUAAUCACAUUGAACUCACAUCAAGAUUUCAAAUAAAAGCUUUCAUUCAUUAUGAUAUAGUGUUACAAAACAUUAUUUAUAACUUGUUGUGUUCAGCGGAAGCAUAAUACAAAGUUUAACCCAAACCCAAGUGUAUGUAAUCACCUAGUCUCAUUUCAAGUAUCCAUGUGUCUCGACCCAUGUAACACCUCGGAAAUUUACGUCCAAUAAUGCAA